rnacentral:rRNA from 1 species
CAAUAGCGUAUAUUAAAGUUGUUGCGGUUAAAAAGCUCGUAGUUGGAUUUCUGCUGAGAACGACCGGUCCGCCCUUUGGGUGUGUAUCUGGCUCUUUCUUGGCAUCUUCUUGGUGAACGUUGCUGCACUUGACUGUGUGGAGCGCUACCCAGGACUUUUACUUUGAGGAAAUUAGAGUGUUUCAAGCAGGCAUACGCCUUGAAUACAUUAGCAUGGAAUAAUAAGAUAGGACCUCGGUUCUAUUUUGUUGGUUUCUAGAGCUGAGGUAAUGAUUAAUAGGGAUAGUUGGGGGCAUUCGUAUUUAACUGUCAGAGGUGAAAUUCUUGGAUUUAUGAAAGACGAACUACUGCGAAAGCAUUUGCCAAGGAUGUUUUCAUUGA